GCGCAGCAGUCGAGAAUCUUCCACAAUGGACGAAAGUCUGAUGGAGCGACGCCGCGUGCGGGAUGAAGGCCUUAUGGGUUGUAAGCCGCUGUCAGGGGGAAGAACAUCGGGAAUGAACAAUACUCAUUCCGACUGACGUUACCCCCAGAGGAAGCUCCGGCCAACUCCGUGCCAGCAGCCGCGGUAAUACGGGGGGAGCAAGCGUUGUCCGGAAUUAUUGGGCGUAAAGGGCGUGUAGGCGGCGAGGUAAGUCGAAUGUGAAAUCUCACGGCUCAACCGUGAAACUGCGUUCGAAACUACCCUGCUUGAGUACGGGAGAGGUGUACGGAAUUCCUGGUGUAGCGGUGGAAUGCGUAGAUAUCAGGAAGAACACCGGUGGC
rnacentral:rRNA from 1 species